GAUGAACGCUGGCGGCGUGCCUAAUACAUGCAAGUCGAGCGAACGGACGAGAAGCUUGCUUCUCUGAUGUUAGCGGCGGACGGGUGAGUAACACGUGGAUAACCUACCUAUAAGACUGGGAUAACUUCGGGAAACCGGAGCUAAUACCGGAUAAUAUUUUGAACCGCAUGGUUCAAAAGUGAAAGACGGUCUUGCUGUCACUUAUAGAUGGAUCCGCGCUGCAUUAGCUAGUUGGUAAGGUAACGGCUUACCAAGGCAACGAUGCAUAGCCGACCUGAGAGGGUGAUCGGCCACACUGGAACUGAGACACGGUCCAGACUCCUACGGGAGGCAGCAGUAGGGAAUCUUCCGCAAUGGGCAAAAGCCUGACGGAGCAACGCCGCGUGAGUGAUGAAGGUCUUCGGAUCGUAAAACUCUGUUAUUAGGGAAGAACAUAUGUGUAAGUAACUGUGCACAUCUUGACGGUACCUAAUCAGAAAGCCACGGCUAACUACGUGCCAGCAGCCGCGGUAAUACGUAGGUGGCAAGCGUUAUCCGGAAUUAUUGGGCGUAAAGCGCGCGUAGGCGGUUUUUUUAAGUCUGAUGUGAAAGCCCGCGGCUCAACCGUGGAGGGUCAUUGGAAACUGGAAAACUUGAGUGCAGAAGAGGAAAGUGGAAUUCCAUGUGUAGCGGUGAAAUGCGCAGAGAUAUGGAGGAACACCAGUGGCGAAGGCGACUUUCUGGUCUGUAACUGACGCUGAUGUGCGAAAGCGUGGGGAUCAAACAGGAUUAGAUACCCUGGUAGUCCACGCCGUAAACGAUGAGUGCUAAGUGUUAGGGGGUUUCCGCCCCUUAGUGCUGCAGCUAACGCAUUAAGCACUCCGCCUGGGGAGUACGACCGCAAGGUUGAAACUCAAAGGAAUUGACGGGGACCCGCACAAGCGGUGGAGCAUGUGGUUUAAUUCGAAGCAACGCGAAGAACCUUACCAAAUCUUGACAUCCUUUGACAACUCUAGAGAUAGAGCUUUCCCCUUCGGGGGACAAAGUGACAGGUGGUGCAUGGUUGUCGUCAGCUCGUGUCGUGAGAUGUUGGGUUAAGUCCCGCAACGAGCGCAACCCUUAAGCUUAGUUGCCAUCAUUAAGUUGGGCACUCUAAGUUGACUGCCGGUGACAAACCGGAGGAAGGUGGGGAUGACGUCAAAUCAUCAUGCCCCUUAUGAUUUGGGCUACACACGUGCUACAAUGGACAAUACAAAGGGCAGCGAAACCGUGAGGUCAAGCAAAUCCCAUAAAGUUGUUCUCAGUUCGGAUUGUAGUCUGCAACUCGACUACAUGAAGCUGGAAUCGCUAGUAAUCGUAGAUCAGCAUGCUACGGUGAAUACGUUCCCGGGUCU
rnacentral:rRNA from 1 species